AUUGAACGCUGGCGGCAUGCUUUACACAUGCAAGUCGAACGGUAACAGGGUGCUUGCACCGCUGACGAGUGGCGAACGGGUGAGUAAUGCGUCGGAACGUGCCGAGUAGUGGGGGAUAACGCAGCGAAAGUUGUGCUAAUACCGCAUACGUACUGAGGUAGAAAGUGGGGGACCUUCGGGCCUCACGCUAUUCGAGCGGCCGACGUCUGAUUAGCUAGUAGGUGAGGUAAAGGCUCACCUAGGCGACGAUCAGUAGCGGGUCUGAGAGGAUGAUCGGCCACACUUGGACUGAGACACGGCCCAGACUCCUACGGGAGGCAGCAGUGGGGAAUUGUGGACAAUGGGCGAAAGCCUGAUCCAGCCAUGCCGCGUGUCUGAAGAAGGCCUUCGGGUUGUAAAGGACUUUUGUCAGGGAGGAAAUCCCUAGUGCUAAUAACACUGGGGGAUGACAGUACCUGAAGAAUAAGCACCGGCUAACUACGUGCCAGCCGCCGCCGUAA
rnacentral:rRNA from 1 species